rnacentral:lncRNA from 1 species
UUGGAGCCGCCCUGCUCGCCAGCCGCACCCAGUGUCGCUGCAUGCAGCCACUGUGAGGGCGCCAUCUGUUCCCGCGUCUCCCUCCUCAACGUGGCCCGUCGUGCGCCCGAAUUUGACCGAGGCCAGCCCGCAGCCGCAUUGCCGCAUGUGCCCCGCUCCCGCUCCUCGCGCCAGCUCCCACGCCACCCGCCCGAUCCCAGCGCUACCUGCCAACUACCGACGACCCCACUAGCUCGCCGGCUGAAGCUCCAGUGUACGCCAGACCACCAGCAGCGUCACCAAGCUAGUCCUAUCUCGCC